rnacentral:lncRNA from 1 species
GUUCACGCCAUUCUCCUGCCUCAGCCUCCCGAGGAGCUGCAACUACAGGCGCCCACCACCAUGCCUGGCUAAUUUUUUGUAUUUUUAGUAGAGACGGGGUUUCACCGUGUUAGCCAGGAUGGUUUGAACUCCUGAUCUGAAGUGAUCCGCCCGCCUCGGCCUCCCAAAGUUCUGGGAUUACAGGAGUGAGCCACCGCGCCCGGCCCUUUUUUUUUUUUGUGACGGAGUCUCGCUCUGUCGCCCAGGCUGGAGUGCAGUGGCGCAAUCCCAGCUCACUGCAAGCUCCGCCUCCCGGGUUCACGCUGUUUUCCUGCCUCAGCCUCCAGAGUAGCUGGGACUACAGGUGCCCGCUACCAUGCCUGGCUAAUUUUUUUGCAUUUUCGUAGAGACGGGGUUUCACUGUGUUAGCCAGGAUGGUCUUGAUCUCCUGACCUCGUGAUCCGCCUGCCUUGGCCUCCCAAAGUGUUGGGAUUACAGGUGUGAGCCACCGCGCCCGGUCGAGUUUUCUUCUUUAAUCUGGUGUUGAUCCUGAGAGUGCUUUGUUAAAAAACAUUCUCCAUGCUGACCUCCGUUUUCGAGUCCGCUUCCUGGGGAAACCUGAAACAGGACUUGAUGCUAGCAGCUGCCCAGAAGAACCAGAUGGGCCACUGUCCUUGCCAGAAGAUCUGAUAUCCUGUGUAUGGCCACCACCUAACACUGCUCACUUCUACAUGUAAACCUCAGAUCUGCUGUUAGAGGAGAAUUCUUCUGUCCUAGCUGUGUCUCUGUGAUCUGUGGAUGAGGGUGGGAAAGCACCACUCAGUCAAUUGGGGUGUACAAAAUGGAGUUUGAGAAGGUCUCACAUCCAGGUUGUUUUGAAGCAAAGUCCAAGCAUUGUAUCACUUCAUCUGCAAAUAUUUCAAUAAGUACCCAAAAGUGGUUGGACUGAGUCCCAUGAAGCCAGAUCACUUCUGACUGCAAGGAGCUUGGAAAAGCAAGUAUCUGGAUCUUUUACCAGCUAAAUUUGGAGCGAUGAGGCUUCCUCUUUGAAGAUCACAGGUGAGAAGAUUAGGUGCUUUCUCAGAAGCCCAGCAACCUGAUGGGAGUGUGGAGUGAGCAAGACCCAAAUCGGAGCUUCAUCCCUGCAUGGUUCAUUUUGCUUAUUUGGCAAACUUGCCCUGCAGAUUGAGAAAUUAAGGUCGCAUCAUAUAAGUGAAGUUGAACACUACUUUUCUAAUACCCUACAUCAGGUACGUUCCUAAAUAAACUGGAACUUACCUCAGAAGCCUCAGAAAAUUAGGAAAAUAAAAUGCAUUACUUUGUAUAUUAAGAAGCUCAAAAUCCCAUAUUUGAUUCACUAUAGAAUUACUUCAGAAUCUCAUAUGUUGUUUAAGCAAAACCUGUCUCAUAUUAAAACAUACCUACUGCUGUGUUGUCUAUUUGCUUUUCUCUUUUUAAAUGCCCUUUUGAGAAAUGCUGCAAAAAUUUUGUCCUGACAUGUGGGGGCCCAACUGUUUCCUGCUAUACUCAGCUUGGAGGACAUAGCCUCUAGGUUAUACUCUUUUGAAAUUGUCCUGUUGAAAUGCAUGUUUUGAUUUUGGGAUUUUCCAGAUGCUUCCUAAGUAGGUCCCAUGUGUUAAAACUUGUGGAAAUUCAGCAUGUUUCUCAAUGUGAGGCAUCUAAGUAGUUCACAAAUUUAAGGCAAUUAGUCUAUUACUGGGAUAAGACGAUUAAUUCUAUUAUAUUCCAUUGUUUACAUAUUACUUGUUUAAUCCAUUUCCUAUUCUAUGCUUUGUUUUUUCAUUUGUCUGAAUUAUUAAAAGUCACUACAUUUUAACAUUUUAAGCAAUUUAAUUUUUAUAUAUAAUUAUAUCCUUUGGCUAUUUAAACUGAAGACACAUUGUAUAUGUAAAUCAAAUUAAGAAAAAUAAAUGGAGAGUGUGUUCACUUACAACAGGAGGCUAUCGCUGUGCUAAAACUUUCUGCUGCUUUUGAGUCUUGGAAUUGUGGAAUCACAUAAUAUUUAAAAAAAUUAGAAAGAACUUUAAAUACCAUGUCCACAGACUUUCUCACUUUUCCAAUGAGAAAACUGAGACCAAGAAUGUUUAACAGACAGGUAAUGCCUGAAUUAGUCCUAGAAUCCAGAUUUCCUUAUUAUUUACAUGAAGUCCAGAAACAUACCAUAUGUAUUAAAUACAAUGGUUUCAAACAUUAAUGAAGUUUGAUUCUGAAAUGUGGGAGGGUUCAUAUAAGUCUAAAAUUUUAGUCUGCUUAAGUAUCCAAGUUUCUUGUUGUCUUAAAAUUUCUUAUUGGAGGAAGCCACUUUUCAGUCACUUUGAUAGGCAC